UUCCGCCAGGAGUCGGCAGAAGGCUGGGCCUCAGACGGGUUGGUGUCCCCUCCAGCCCUAAGAGACAAGCCCUGCUUGGUGGGGGAGAAGGAGUGGAUCACUGCCCCAGCUCCCCAGACCAUCAGUGACCUCUUCCAAAAUGGGAACUGGACGAUGGCGAACCCCUCCCCUGCCUGCCAUAGUAGCCAUGACGAAAUCAAGAAGAUGCUGCCUGUGCCUCCUCCACGGGUUUGCAUUUCUACCAGGAACAGCAAGCAAACUGGAUCUGAAGCAACUGUCUCAGGAUUUUCGAGGGAAAACAAAGCCUAAAGAAGAUGUUUUAUUUUUCCUAAAUAUUCAGGUCAAGCUCAUCAAAUCUGCAGAAGGAAGCAGGGGAGGUGGAUCCAAGGAUGGCGGAGCUGCAUAGGAGGGAAGUAGCCCCACAUGUAAACUAUGGAGGACACCCCUGGCUGCCUUUCUCACUUUUAAAGAGAUGUACUUAUUCUCAUCCAUUUCACCUUGGGAGGAUGAUUUUCUACGUUACAGAUUGAAAUAAAAACAGCAAACAAGAAGCUCAAAGAAUCUAAGUGCUUGCUUCAGGAACAAAAUGAAUUAUUUAGAGUUGGUUUGUUCACUUUGAUUGCUCUCCUGUAAUCAGGGUUACAGGAUACUAUAACUGGGUUAUUCUUUCCCAUUUUGGUAUUUAAGUG